rnacentral:lncRNA from 1 species
AUGCCCGAGACAACCAUCAGGAUCGUAAACGUGCAACAGCUUUAUACCAGGUGAAUGUGUGAGCAAACAGAUCAGAGGUUCUACCUGCCAGGUGGCUCUCCAGGUGUGUCCUGUGAUUCCCCACGCUCGCCUGCAGGCUGCACUGUUGCCGUGGUUAUCUCCCAGGCUACCACAGCAGGCAAUUCAAACAGGUUGUGUCAACGCUGCAGGUAGGCACCGAAUCCGCACCAGCCAAGGCUGAAAACGGUUGCAGCUGCGAGAACUGUGGACUCUGAGAAGCAAGGAAAGGAGCCCACUCAGAGCUCUAAGAGUGCGCAUGCGUGGAGGACCACCUACUGAAGCAUGGCUAUCUUUCAUGGACACAUUCCUGAAGAAAACAGAUGCUGGUGCCAGGCCCAGGAAAGGACCAGGAACAAGGUUCUCCACACAUCCUCCAUCCGUGCGUUCCAGGGCUCGUGGGUUUGCUUCAGCCAAAACCUCGAACGAGCCACAUCCUUGUGUUCUUGACUGUGAUGAGGUCUUUUAUUGCAUUUAUAAAUGUUCCCCCUGGGGCUAUUACUCAAAAGGGUUCAUCUAAUGAAUAAGACAACUAAC